AACAUUCCUCCAUCAUCUGGAUGUAGGAACUUAUUUCAGUUUUCAUCUAAACAAAAAUUAAUUUUCUAAGCAGAAUUGUUUACAUAUGUCUAGCCGUUUCUUGAAGUUGAAAUCUUUUGGGCUCCAGAGGAUAUUUUUCAAAGAAGUACUCUCCAUUUCCACUUCAGUCUCUGAUGAUUUGUUCUUUAUUUUGUCUCACUAGAAUAUUCUGCUUUGCUAUUUUCCUAUUAUUUUCAUGGUUUACCUCUCAACUAUGUAGCAUUUUCUCUUCCUAUAGCCUUAAUCACUACCUGGGGCACUUCUGAUCACAUCCUUGGAUUCCUCACAAUGUAUAUCUUUCCAUUUACUUCUGAGUGAACAGAAUAUUUUGCCCUUAUAGUUAUGAAGUUCUGCAGCACACAAAAUACUGGAGGAACUCAGCAAGUCAGGCAGAAUCUAUGGAGGGAAAUGAGUAUUAGACAUUUUGGGUCAAGACCCUUCUUCAGGGGGAUGUCAUAUGAUGAUGUAGGAUCGAGACACUGGAACCCAGCUCUCCCGUAAAAAAAAAAUCAGUAAAUUAAUGCUUAAGUGAAGAAAAGUUAGUUAAUACUUUCUAAAAGUUACUUAUAAACUACUCCGAAUUGUUUCAAGUUAUGCCUUAUAAACAGAAGAUGAAGAAAACUACUACCGUGAAGACAACGCAAGUUGGAACAGAAUCAAGGCCCACCUCUGCCAAAGAUCCGCGGGCUCAGGUAUAUUAUACCACAGCGAUACAGAACAGGAAACUGCGGCAAUAUCGACCAUUUCUAAAGAAAAAGACCAACGAGAACUGCGCAAAUGUGAAGGAAGGAGCAUGCGCAAAUGAGAACAACCUGAACUACAAAUCCCAUUUACGACUGAAACUGAAAGUGAAAGUGAAUCUGAGGGAGAGUCAGAUUCUCUGGAAAAAUCAGACAAAGAUGGAGGUAAAAGUUCUUCUGGAAAUAUAGAAAAGACUUUGAUGCAAAUAAUGCGUAAAUUAGGCGCAUUAAAAGUAAUCAAAAAAUGAUAAAUGUGGAGAUUAUGUUUGAGAAAAUGACAAAAAGACAGGAAAAAAUGGAAAAGAGAAUUAUAGAUUUGGAAACUACAACAGAAGACAUGGUUGAAAGAAUGAAUAAAAUGGAAAAUGAUAUUACUGCCUGGACAUCAGAAAGAAAACAAAUGUUGGAAAAAGUUGAUAAGCUUGAAAAUUUUAGUAGAUGAAAUAAUAUUAAAAUUGUUGGACUUAAAGAAGAUAUAGAAGGAGAAGAUCCAAUAAAUUUUUUUCAAAAAUGGAUUCCUGAAAAAUUGGAAAUGGAAGGAGAAACUAAUUGAAAUUGAAAGGGCUCAUAGAGCCUUAAGGUCAAGACCUCAAGCUGACCAAAAUCCACGAUCAAUUUUGAUAAAAUGCUUAAGAUACCAAGAUAAAGAAAAGAUCCUGAAGGCGGCUGCCCAACGUGCCAAAAAGAGAAACGGGCCAUUGAUGAUAGCAGGGAAGGCAGUUCUUUUCUAUCCUGAUAUAAGUUAUAACCUUUUGAAGAGAAAGAAGGAAUUUAACCCAGCGUAAAGAGGUUUAUGGGAAAAGGGUUAUAAAUUUAUAAUGCGUCACCCAGCAACACUGAUAAUUUUUUUUGAAGAUUUUUUACCGAUUAUCCAGAAGCGGAGGAGUUCGCACAAAAACUUCCAAAUACUCUCUAAUUACACAUGGAGGUCUCCAAGUGUAAUGGAUUAAAGAUGAAGACAGAGACAGUGAAUGGAAGUGAUGGACAUUUAAGGAUGACAUAGGGGAGAAAAGCAAAAUUUCAGAUAUACUAAUUGAGAAUAGUUUUUUUUUCUUAUAUAUACUUUUUUAUUUUGCGGGGGGGGCUGGGGAGCUUUGGAUUGAUUACUACGGGAUUCACGUGUGUAAUCAUGACGAUCGCCAUGACCUGUACAAUAGAGAGGGGUAAUGUUGUGUUUUUUUUUCCACAACAUUAGUAGGGGGGUAUUUUGUUUUUUUCUUUGCACUCUAUUUUUCUUCUAUCUUUCUGCCUGGAUGAUUGGUGGGGACACACAUAGCAACAUGGAGAAUUUUAGAAAGAUUUCCCAAGAUACCACGGAAGUUGAAAGAUUAGGUUUUAUUAUAGAUUGGAGUAACAUAAUUGAAAAUAAUGACUAAUUUACUGAAUUUUUAAAGUUUUAAUGUUAAUGGGCUUAAUGGACCGGUGAAAAGAAAAAGAAUUUUAACAUACAUUAAAAAAAUGAAAAUAGAUAUAGCUUUUUUACAAGAAACACAUUUAACGGAGAUAGAACAUCAGAAAUUAAAAAGAGACUGGGUUGGAAAUGUUAUUGCAGUUUCAUUUAAUUCAAAGGCGAGAGGAGUUGCAGUUUUGGUUAAUAAAAAUUUAGCAAUUAAAAUACAAAACGUAUUAAUUAAUUCGGCCGGGAGAUAUGUAAUUAUACAUUGUCAAAUUUUUUCAGAAUUAUGGACUCUUAGGAAUACUUAUGCACCAAACGAAAAUGAUGUAAAAUUUAUACAAGAGGUCUUUUUGAAUUUGGCUAACGCACAUGACAAAAUAUUAAUAGGUGGAGAUUUUAACUUUUGUUUAGAUCCAGUUUUAGAUAGAUCAACAAAGGUUGUCACAAAAUUAAAAGUAGCAAAAUUAAUAUCAUUGAUGAAAGACUUAAAUUUGAUUGAUAUAUGGAGAAGAAUGAACCCAAAAGAAAGAGAUUAUUCAAAUAGACAUAAAACAUAUUCAAGGAUAGAUUUUUUCUUAUUAUCAACGAAUAUGCAAGAUAGAGUGAAAAACAUGGAAUAUAAAGCGAGAAUAUUGUCAGAUCAUUCUCCUUUGAUAAUGACAAUGAUGAUAGAUAAAGAGGAAUCAAUUUAUAGAUGGAGAUUUAAUGCAAUGUUACUAAAACGUCAAGAUUUUUGUGAUUUUAUGAAAAAGCAGGUUCAGUCUUUUUUAGAUACAAAUUUACAUUCAGUUGAUGAUAAAUUUAUAUUGUGGGAAGCAAUGAAGGCAUAUUUGAGAGGUCAGAUAAUAAGUUAUACUUCUAAAAUUAAGAAGGAAUAUAUGAUAGAAAUAGAUCAAUUGGAAAAAGAGAUUACAAAAUUAGAAAAAGAAUCUCAAAGAUAUAUGACAGAAGAAAAACAAAGACAACUUAUUAAUAAGAAGUUACAAUAUAAUACACUAAAGACAUAUUGAACAGAAAAAGCAAUUAUGAGAAUUAAACAGAGAUAUUAUGAACUAGGUGAAAGAUUACAUAAGGUCCUUGCAUGGCAGUUAAAAACAGACCAGACUUCUAAAACAAUAAAUGCAAUUCGAACAAGAGUAAAUAAAAUUACUUAUAAACCUUUAGAAAUUAAUGAAACUUUUAAGAAUUUUUGUUCUGAAUUGUAUAAAUCAGAAUCACAAAAUGAUAAUGUCAAGAUAGAAAGGUUUUUAUCACAAAUAACUCAUCCAAAAUUAAAUACGGAAGAACAGAAGAGAUUAGAUAUGCCUUUUACAUUAAAAGAGGUUGAAGAAGCUUUAGGAUCAUUUCAAAGUAAUAAAUCUCCAGGAGAAGAUGGUUUUCCGCCUGAAUUUUAUAAAAAGUUUAAAGAUUUAUUAAUUACUCCUUUUAUGGAGUUAAUACAUCAAGCGGAAAGAACGCAUAAACUUCCAGAAUCUUUUUCGACAGCUAUUUUAAUAGUAUUGCCAAAAAAAAGAUAGAAAUCUUUUAAAGCCAACAUCAUAUAAACCUAUUUCUUUGUUAAAUACUGAUUAUAAAAUAAUAGCAAAAAUCUUAUCUAACAGACUAUCUAAAUACUUGCCAAAAUUAAUACAUAUGGAUCAAACAGGAUUUAUUAAAAAUAGACAAUUGGCAGAUAAUGUAACUCGGUUAUUUAGUAUAAUUCAUUUCGCUCAAAAGAGGGAGGAAAUGAGUGUGGUAGUUGCUUUAGAUGCAGAAAAAGCAUUUGAUAGAUUGGAAUGGGAUUUUUUAUUUAAGGUAUUGGAAAAAUAUGGAUUAGGGGUAUCUUUUAUACAAUGGAUCAGAACCUUAAAUAUUAAUCCCAAAGCUAAAGUAGUGACAAAUGGUCAAAUUUCAACAUCAUUUCAGUUAACAAGGUCAACUAGGCAAGGUUGUCCAUUAUCACCUGCUUUAUUUGUGUUGGCGAUAGAACCAUUAGCUGAAUUAAUUAGAAUGGACCCAGAUAUUAAGGGUUUCAGAGUUAAUCAGGAAGAAUACAAGAUUAAUUUAUUUGCUGAUGAUGUUCUGCUUUAUUUAAUAAACCCAUUGCACACGUUGCGUAAAUUAUCCUAUAGAUUAAAAGAAUAUGGGAAAAUAUCAGGUUACAAAAUAAAUUGGGAUAAAAUGAAAUUUUACCUCUUACUAAAGGAGAUUAUAGUCAAUGUCGAUUAAUAACUCAAUAUAGAUGGCCGGCAAAUGGUACAAAAUAUUUAGGUAUAAGAGUCGAUAAUGAUAUAAAGAACUUAAACAAAUUAAAUUACUUACCAUUAUUGAAAAAAAUUCAAGAAGAUCUUGAUAAAUGGAUGAUAUUACCAAUAACAUUAGUAGGUAGAGUAAAUACCAUAAAAAUGAAUAUAUUCCCUAGACUACAAUACUUAUUUCAAUCACUACCAAUACAAUUACCCCAGAAGUUUUUUCAAGAGUUAAAUAAAUAUGUGAGGAAGUUUCUUUGGAAAGGUAAGAUGUCAAGAAUAUCGUUGGGAAAAUUGACAUGGAAAUUUGACCUCGGAGGGUUACAACUUCCAAACUUUAAAAAUUAUUUUAAAGCAAAUCAACUUAGAUUUAUUGCAUCUUUUUUGAUGAAGAUAAACCGGCAUGGAUUAGAAUAGAACUAGAUAAAAUAGGAGAAAAUAUACCAGAAGAUUUUAUAUAUAAGUGGGAAUCUAAAUGGAUAUGGGAAAAUAAAGAAUCUCCAAUAUUGAAACAUUUGAUUGAUUUAUGGAAUAAGAUAAAUAUUGAUGAUGAGAUAAAGAAAUCUUUAUUAGCAAAGAGAUCUUUAUUUCAAAAUAAACUUAUUCCUUUUACAAUGGAUAACCAACUUUUAUACAACUGGUUUCAAAAAGGGAUUACCGUAAAUUCUGGACUAUAAGCCGCUACUUUUUUCCCACGCUUUGAACACUGCAGCAACACUGUGGCCUAUACUACGGUGCGGCUAAUGCAUGUUUUUUUUUAUGCCGCCAAAAACAUUUUGCCUCGUAACAGUAGACCAAUAAAAUUGAUGAGUAGUUCACAGAGGUCCAAUGAAAUUGUAUGAUAAAUCAAGCGCACUUUCACAAUUAAAUUAUUGUAAAUCAGUCAUUUGUACUCACCCUCAUCAACAUGGAAAACACUCGAAGAAAAGCAUAUGAUGCAGCUUUUAAGUUAAAGGCGAUCAAUCUGGCGGUUGAAGAAGGAAAUCGAGCUGCUGCACGUAAUCUUGGCAUAAAUGAAUCGAUGGUGAGACGGUGGAGACGCCAGUGUGAAGAACUGAAUCAAUGCAAAAAGACGACAAAAGCUUUCAGAGGUAAUCAUAGCAGAUGGCCCGAACUUGAAAACUUUCUUGAAGACUGGGUUAACACACAGAGAGCAGGCGGCCGCGGUGUUUCCACCGUGCAGAUCAGACUGAAGGCUAAAGCAAUCGCCACCAAAAUGAAAAUCGAAGAUUUUAGAGGUGGGCCAUCAUGGUGUUUUAGUUUUAUGAGACGAAAAGGCCUGUCCGUCAGGGUACGCACGACUCUGUGUCAGCAGCUCCCUCCCAACCACGAGGAAAAACUUGCUAACUUCCGCACAUUCACUCAAACAAAGAUAGCGGAGAUUUCCAUCGGGCCAGAUGAUAUCAUAAAUAUGGAUGAAGUACCUUUGACGUUUAACCUGCCUCUCACUCGGACUGUUAAUAAAAAAGGUGACUCGUCCAUCACACUGAAAACAAGUGGCCAUGAGAGAACGCAUUUUACUUGUGUUCUGAGCUGCACAGCAUCCGGACUAAAGCUUCCACCGAUGGUGAUUUUUAAGCGGCUGACAAUGCCAAAGGAAAAAUUCCCAAAAGAAAUCAUGGUGAAAGUCAAUAAGAAAGGUUGGAUGACGGAGAAUCUAAUGAAGGAUUGGCUGAGAGAGUGCUACGCCAAGCAACCAGGGGGAUUUUUUCACAGAAAAAAAGCAUUGCUCGUUAUGGACAGCAUGAGGGCCCAUAUAACAGAUUCAGUGAAAGCUGCCAUCAAGAGUACAAACUCAAUUCCAGCUAUGAUUCCUGGGGGCACCACGAAGUAUUUGCAGCCACUGGACAUCAGCGUGAUUCGGGCAUUUAAAGUGGCGCUGUGCGUUGAGUGGGAGGCUUGGAUGACGAGCGGCGAGAAAUCCUUUACCAAAACAGGACGCAUGCGAAGAGCAUCUUUAACUCAAGUCUGCCAGUGGAUCCUAAAUGCGUGGAGCCGUGUCACAACAUCCAUCGUCACCAACGGGUUUCGAAAGGCUGGACUGCUGCGUGAUGAAGAGGACCGCGUGCGCUCAAGUGAGAGCGACAACGAAGAGACUGAAGUGAAUGACGAGAUCCUGAAGUGUUAUUCAAUUCGGACACUGAAGAAGAGGACUUUGAUGGUUUUAGUGCGCAGGAGGAAGAUGAAGAAGGCGAUCAAUAACAUUUCCUGGUAGGCUGCAGUAUAUAUAUUUAUUUUACCAGUCAUUAGGAGAUAUUGGAAUGUUGUUUGUGCACUGUUCAGUAAAAAAGUAUACGCAACGUAAUUUGUAUGUUACCGAUAUGUAUGUAUAUUUAAAAGUAGCUGUGUUACAGGCACUGUUCGAAAAUAAGCAUUUGCAAUAUGUAUUUGUUUAUGUUACCAUAGGGAUUUAAUUAAAAGUUAAAAAAUCCUCACGUGUAAUAUCUUUCUGUAUAAAUAUCUCAUAUUACAACGUGGGACACCUGUGGCUUAAAAUCCGGUGUGGCCUGUACAAGUACAAAAUUGAUUUUCUUUCUAAAAUUAGAGCGUGCGGCUUUUAAUCAGGUGCGCUCUGUAGUCUGGAAUCUGCGGUAGAUAUAUAGGAGAUUGUUUUGAAGGAGGUAUAUUAAUGUCAUUUGAUCAAUUAAAGAAUAAAUAUAAAGUAUCAAGCAACACUCUUUUUUGUUACUUCCAAUUAAGGGCUUAUUUAAAUGAAAAAUUAGCUCAAACAAUGUUAUUGCCGAAAUCUAGUGAAAUAGAAACUUUAAUUCAAAAAGGUAAAACUAAAAAAAUUAUUUCUUGUAUGUAUAGCUUGAUUCAAAAACAGGCAACUAAACAAGGAGUCCAUAAGUCAAGACAAAAAUGGGAAAGUGACUUGAAUAUUUAAAUUGAAGAAACAAAUUGGUCAAGAUUAUGUCUUGAUAGUAUGACAAAUACACUAAAUGUCCGGUUAAGAUUAGUUUAAUAUAAUUUUUGACAUCAAUUAUAUAUUACACCACAAAAAAUAAAUAAAUUAAAUCCAAAUUUAUCUGAUCGGUGUUUCUGAUGUAACCAAGAAAUUGGUACUUUUUUUACAUUCUACUUGGUCUUGUUCUAAAAUUCAACCUUUUUGGACAAAUCUAAGAGUUUUAUUGGAACACAACUUCCGCAUAAUCCAAUAUUAUUUUUAUUAGGCGAAAUUGAAGGGAUAAAAUCGAAACCCAAGUUGAAUAAAUAUCAGAAAUAAUUUAUAAAAAUUGCACUGGCUGUAGCCAAAAAGGCUAUUGCAAUUACUUGGAAAUCGGAUGCAUAUUUAAGUAUCGAUCGUUGGAAGAAUGAAAUUUCCAGCUGUAUUCCACUUGAAAAAAUUACUUAUAAUUUAAGAGAAAAUACGAAACAUUUUUGAAAAUUUGACGCCCUUAUUUACAAAAAACAGGGUUAAAUAUAUAGGUGCUCUGAAGAUAAAAUAAUUGGUUAUUUGGGGAAAGAAAUAAAUAUAUAUACUAAAGUUAUUACGAACUCCGUGGAGCAUGUGGGGAUCUUCUGAUAUCCAGGCACUCUUUCUUCCUUUCCUUCUUUCUUUUUUUUUCUAUAGGGAUGUUGGGGUGGGGGAGAAGGGUAUUAUUUUUUUUCUUUCUGUAAUCAUCUGAAAACUUAAUAAAAAAAGUUAAAAAAAAAAACCCUUCUUCAGGACCGGUCUGAUUGUACUGUUUAAUUCUUUUACUUUUGGCCAACAUGCCAAACUUCCUCAUACAACUCCUUAUCAUAAUUCUGAAGUCCUGUUAUUCUAUAGUCCAUCACCCAUCUUCUAGUACACUCCUCCAUGUCUUCUCCAAGUUCAUUUCAUCCAAGAAUUCCAUCACAUAAUACUUCAGCUUGUUUAAAAUCUUUCCUUCCUGUUCCCUUUGCUUACUAACUUUGUGCAUAGUACCAUUUCAGCAGACACUGCCCCCUCAUUCAAAAGUGCCAUCAUUACCCUUGUGCAAAAAUAUCACAUCUUAAUUUUGUUAAUUGAUCAUUGUUUCAUUUUCAAUAUACAUUUCUGCUUGAGUCCUUGAGUAUCUCUCUUGCAAUUUUUUGGUUGAUGCCCCCAAUCAUGUUAUAAAUACCCUUACUAAAUUCUACAAUUUGUGAUGCAUCACCCUUCAUGGAUACUCAAUUCUGGAGCAAACUCCAAUCUUUCAGGCUAAAAUGCCCACCCCACUGGUACUCCACUGCAUGUUGAAUGUUUCAUGUGCACUUCAGACCUAAUGCUUCUCUACUUCUUGUGAGCAGGGAUCCAGGUGAUCACAGUGUGGCGAGAGUUGGACUGUGAAUGUAUACAACAUGGCGGUUUGUGCUGACAUGCAAUUUCUUUAUACUGUACAGAUUAGCAUAUUUCAGCAUAAAAUUAUAAACGUGCUAGGGAAUUCAUGAAAUUCUCAGGGAUGAAUUUGCUGUUGAUAUAAUACAUAUGUUUAUUUGUCUCAGUUUGCACAAGAGAAACAAGUCAUCGACAAUAUCACUUGCAAUGCUGUUGGAUGGAGGUUGAACACUUGCUAGAAGGCUACCUUCAAGAUGUUGGGAUCCAGGAAGACCAGUUUUUGGAAGCCUGCAAUUCUCCACUUGCACAGUCUGAAUCAUUUCGGGGAAUAAUGACAAGAAAAAAUAGUCUGUAC